rnacentral:rRNA from 1 species
CGCGUAGGCGGAUGUCUUAGUCAGAGGUGAAAGCCCAGGGCUCAACCUUGGAAAUGCCUUUGAUACUGGACAUCUUGAGUGUGGGAGAGGUGAGUGGAACUCCGAGUGUAGAGGUGAAAUUCGUAGAUAUUCGGAAGAACACCAGUGGCGAAGGCGACUCACUGGCCCAUUACUGACGCUGAGGCGCGAAAGCGUGGGAGCAAACAGGAUUAGAUACCCUGGUAGUCCACGCUGUAAACGAUGAGUGCUAGUUGUCGGCAUGCAUGCAUGUCGGUGACGCGAGCUAACGCAUUAAGCACUCCGCCUGGGGAGUACGGUCGCAAGAUUAAA